UGUAGCUGCAUCCUGCUGAUGAAAUCAAAGUUAGAUUUAGACUUGUUUCAAGAAGAAUCACCGUUCCAAAUUAUAUCCCUUAAAAGUCUAAUUUAUAGUUACCUAUUGAAAAGUUAUUCAGUGUAGAAACUUCCAGAAAAGGAGACAAGAAGACGGGCACGAAGCCUCGUUUUUACAACCAUCGGUGCAGAACUUGAAUCUGUGGCCCAAACACACAAAGAUUUGGGUGUUUCGGUGGGAGAAAAGUGUUAUUAACAUGGGAAACCAGUCCUUAAGCGGGGGUGGUUCUUCACUAAAAGAAAGUUUGAUUUCUUCACGACGUGAAAAGGGACCCUCUUGCCCUGUUCACUAAAGCAUCAGCUGUUGAUGACCCUGAACGAAGAACAGAUGCACAGCGUGGCAGAGCGGUAAUAAAAAAAGAAAUACAUGUAGAAAAUAAACCAAACUUUACCAAAACUGUUUCAGGCUCUGCCCGCGUUGAAGGAAGAGGCGUGCUCUGUGCUGCCCUGGACUUGGGAGGAACAGCAAGAACGUACAAAAAGCAAAAUUCCUCGAACGGAGUCGGUUCCAGGCGGCGACGAAGCAGCUGGGCUGAGCUUGUCCACAAACCUGCCAACGCAGCCCGGGGUUGUUCAACUGUUCAGCUUUUGCAGAGGCAAAUGGCUGUUAAAAUCAUCGGCCUUUGCAAAGCAACUGAAAAGUUCUCAUGUUUCGUUUGUUUUAAUUAACUUUCACUUAAAGGCCGUUUGGCAAAACAAUGAGUAAAAAUUGUUGUCGUGAAAAAAGGGUGCAUUUAACAAAAUCUGAGCGCAUGUGUGGGAGCUGUAUGUGGGAAGAGCUUAAAAGUGCGCAGGGAGGGUGUGUCCUGUUUACAAAAAGUAGCCUUAAAUUUAAGGUGAAGAAGCUGGAAAGUGUAAAUCAGGUGCCUAAAGGUUUCACCCAUUGCCUUCCGUAAGAAAAAUGAAACCGCAAAUGCAAACUAGGAUAAAACUGAUUCGCUCAAAAGAUGCUUCUUGUCUGCUAAUUGAAACCAGGAUUAAAAUGACUGAUUUAAAUUAAUUCAAGCAGGCUAAUAAGAACCAUCAGUUCCACCCCUCCCUUCUGGAGCGAGAUAAAGCCAGGAGCUCCCAGCCUCCUGCUAGAGCGGGGCCGGGGGCCGUCACGGCUGAUGCUUUAGGGAAUUUGGUGCUGGCUGCUGCUGAAGGCGAGCUAGCAGGUGAGAUGGAGACAGCCCUGUCCAUAAGGGUCGUUUCUAAGCCUGACUAGCAAAGCCAGCUCUGGCCCGGCGUACAGUUAAUUAAAUUUUAUCUCUUCUUAUCUGCAAGCGGGUUUGUCUUUAGUUCACCAGGCUGGGGAUGGGCUGGAAGCUGUGGCUUAAGGGAGAAGGAUCACUGCCAGUUUGUCACGGAGCUAAAAGUACCGCUGGAAAGGAGGGUUUGGGGGGUUUCUGCUUGUUUGUUUGUUUGUUUUCCAGUCUUUCAUUUAAAAACAUGACCUGCGAUGUGCUUCCUGUGAGGUUUGCUGGUGUCUUAUAUAGCCGAGAAGGGGCUGUGCCCGAGCAGCAAACAGGUGUUGCGCAGAGGCAGCCCGAGUGUCCCGGGGAGGGGAAAUGCUGCGAAAAAGCUUCCUUCGCUGGGAGUGUCGUAUUUUACACUAGGACGUGGCCGAGUCCCGGGGCAGCCAGGGCACGCCGUGGCGCACCAUGUAACGAGUUAAACAGCAGAAGGGAUGUGGGGUCCGGCUGCAUCCUUCCUCCUACACAAAGGCAGGAUGCGGUAGCCCCUCGGGCAGAGGGGAGGUAGCCAUCGCUCACGAAAUCGAUGCCGGCAUUGUGUGCGGCGUCAUGGCGCGGGAGGUGGGAGGCGGGGGGUGAGACGGGAGCGAGCCGGAGCUGGCGGCGCGGGCACGAGGGCCGCUGACAGCGAUACGGACGUGUGAUGCAACCCGUUUGGAGACAGACCUUGCUAUUGCAUUCAGACAAGGAAAGCGGACACCUCGCUGUUAUCCAGGACAGAGAUGAGCGAAGGUAGUUGUGUGAAAAGGGAAUAAUUGGCAUGUUUCGAGGGAGAAGAGGGCAUUAUCCAGGAGGAGACCGUCUCCACGGGCGCAGGGCUCGUGUUGGUGGUCUGUGGGUUCCCGUGGCCACCACUGAGUAAAUCUCACCGCUGAACAAAAAAGCCCUUCGCCCUCCCAAGGGCAGUCGGACUAUUUCAGCCAGAGCAUCCCAUGAGCUAAGUCACCCCAGCGCCUCCUCGCUGCUCCGGAUCGGCUGUCGGGGAGGCUCCAGGCGCCGGCCUGAGCCGAAAGCGCUGCUCUCCAGCUACAAGGCUUUGCUGCGUCACUCGCCCAAAUCACGCUGCGUGCACAGAGCACCUUGUCUCCAGGUUGGCAGCGGGGACCUGGCCCUUCUCCAGCUGCUGCUUCCUUCCUCCCCGCCCUCAGCGCAGCGUCCAGCGCCUUCCACUGCCCGCGCAGCGCUGCGCGGGUACCGCAGCAAUUGUUGAUCUAAUUCACUGCUCGGUGUCCUUUCCUGGGUGUUUUCUGCUGGGGGAGGAGGGGGAAGAUGAGGUUGGUGCAGACUCACUGUGUAAAGCCAGGCCAGUCAUGGGACCCCUCCCUCCUGCCUCCGUUUCCCCGUCAGCACAGCAGGUUUAGCUUUCCCAGGUGGCGUAAUGAAGAUUCAUAUCAAUAAAAGGCUCGGCCAUGCUCAUGUGAUUAACAUCAUUUUCUGAUGACUGAUCCUUUUGGCUGUUAAAGAGGUGAUUUUGCUGCGGUGAGGCCAAGGAGCAGCACCCGUGAGUACCGUGGCAGGAAUACCCCAGGGCUUCGGGAUGCAUUUACUCCUAUAACACUUUUCCUAGAGCUCCCCGAGGCACCUGGUGCUGGGGUCCCCCAUGGCCAGAUCCCAAAACUGGAUAAAGUUCAGGCUUGGCUGGGAAAGAGAGUAGAGGAACAAAGAUUUACAGGUGCAGGGAUCAGGGCAAGCGGCAAAAAAAUGCCCUCCUGGCUGUGCCAUUCAAUUAAAAAUAAAAAAGCGGCAACGGGCCGCGCACGCAGGACGGGCUGGGGCUGGCGGGAGUCGCUGCAGCUCCCGGCCAUCGCCGCGGGCCUUUGCAGCUGCCUUUGCCCGGCUUGGCCUUGCGCCGGCACCGGCGCCGUGCGGCUCCGGCAGGACCUUCCCUGCGCGGCUGCGGCAGGACCAUGGCUCUGAACGCCGCUAUUGUGAGCCCCGCAGCCGCCCGGCUCCGCUGGGGAAGGGGCCCCGGCUCCCCACCUUUCCGGGUAAGCUGUGGCGAUGCUGCAGGUCGAAAGGCUGCGGCGGGAGAGUCCCGAGACAAGCCAACAGCGCCGAGUCCCGCAUCCUCCGAGCCCCGGUGCUCCUGCCACGUGUCCUGCGAAGGUAAAUGCCUGCUCUCAGGUUAUAAAAGGUCCAGGUCCCCCCUGCUCCUUCCUGCACCCACUGCGAUGGCCAUGGCUCUCUUUGCCGUGGAUGUGUUACACCCACCUGCUAUCAACCACAAACCUUUUGAUUUUUGUAAAAAAAGAUAAAAUUAGCAUCUACCGCUGGACGUGAGGCCCCCAAAGGAAGAAAAAAAAUGCUCUGAAGUCCCUGCCUGCAUCAACCUGGUCUGUCUGCGGAAAUUUUUCCUCUGGGCUUUGCUGUCGUGGCUGAGAGAUUUUUCCAGCGAUGCAGCUGGUGCGGUGGGGGUUCGGGGAGGGGGGCUCUGGGACCCCACUUCUGCCUGUGCUGGACACCAGUUUUCCAGCUGGGUAAGCAGGCGGCUGGACGCUGGCAAGGUGCCACGCGGAUCUCCUCAAUACCAAGGAAGAAGCAAGGCGGUGUUUGGAUGGAACCAGCAGCCCCGGUUUAUCUUGGCCGACGGCAGGUGGGUAUUUGCCGGCGGAGCCUGGGCGGCACCAGCCCCUUCUCCAGCUCCUCCCGCGGUGGCCUCUGGGCUCCGUGUUGCCACCGCAGCCCGGCAGGGUCCCCGUGGCAGCCACCCUCCGCGCCCUGACCACGCGCCCACUGGAGAUGGAGGCAUCGAGGGUGCCAGAAGCAAGGAGCAGAGUUCCCCAGCAGCGGCCGUGGUGGUCUCUGCGGCGAUGCGCCGUGUGUUGGACCGUGGGUGCUGGGACCGAGGAUGGGUGAGGUGCCACUGCCCAGCCUUGGGGUGGGCUUGUGCUCCGGCUUUCUGCGGUGUGCAGGAGCUGAGACAGAGCUGCGCUACCAGCUGGCAAGGAAAUAACCCCACGGAGCUUUGUCCUCAGUGGGAUGGGGAUGGGGCCUCUGU